UCCAACCUCUUAUCCAAAACAAGGUCUAUUGUCUGAGUCCCCAAUCUACUGUAGAUCGUGAGUUUCUUCGGUCAUCUUCUAUUCGAGCUUGUAACCCUCGUCCUCAAUCACGUGUUCCAGAUUUGGUAUUAUCGUCAUCUUCUUGCGUCCAUAUCUACCGUGGCAUCCGUGCAUUCAGAUCUUUUGAAGGUCAGACGUCGUCAUCGUGUUCCAGUCCAUUGAAGCUACCGAUGACGUCAUGUCAAGAUAUGGCUUAGCUGCUGCUGUGAUAUCGAAUGAUCUGGAAAGAUGUGAACAUUUAACUAAGGUUUUUCAGGUGGGAAUUGUAUGGAUCAAUUGCUCUCAACCGUGCUUCACUCAAAUCCUAUGGGGAGGCAUUAAAUGUAGUGGUUUUGAUCAUGAACUAGGAGAAUAGUAUGCUCUUAUUUCCUAAAUAAUAAAUACAUGCUACAAAACUGACAAGACGAACAAGUGAAAAAUAUAUACUUGGAUGCAAACAGAAAGCAAGCAUACUUAUUUUCUCAAAUCUGUUACUUGUUGAGGACGAAUCUGAGUCUUCAAAUGCAAGUUAGGAAAGCAUAUUAUAAGCAAUGAGAACUGGUUUGUGGUCAACUUGGUGCUUUGUUGUGCUUUUUAAGUUGGUCAUGACAUCUUAUUUUAUCUGCUCUUCCUUGUGUGGUCUCAUUAGAGCAUAUAUGAGUUUAAGGAGAUUAGUGUCACUAAUUUGAGACAAAUGACAAUAAACUAGCACAAUAUCUAUCAAUUUACAGGUCAGGCAUAUUCCCUCUAGUGCUUCAUAUGCCAAGUUGCUCGUUUUUUUCUCCCUUGCAGACAUUAGAUUCUAGAGAAAGCACCAGGUUAUUGUACUGCAGAAUUCUAACUACAUAGGAGUAGUUGUGCAUGUUGUUGGAAAAGCACCGACUAAUUUAGGAAAAAUCUAGAAUUAGAAUAAAUCAAGAAAAAUCCAGAAAUUUUCUCAGCUGAAGCAAUAUCACAAAGGCGGUGAAAGGAUGAUUCUAGAAUUAAUUAUUUUAAUGCUCUAAAAGCAGUGAUAGAGGAAAAUUGAGAAUGCUGUGGAGAAGAGAGAAUGGAGAAAGAAGAAAGAAGAAAGAAGAGUGUGUGAGAGUGAGGAAAGAAAGAGAAAAUAAGAAGCACGUGUGGGUAUAGCCGUGUAGAAUAUGAAUAGGUGGUGAGAAAAGUGAGAAAGAGUGUCAGCAAGAAAGAGAAAAAGAAAAAGAAUGAGGGAAAAUUAUGAGAGAAGAUAGAAGUAUUUGCGUAAAUUAUAGUUUGAGUGAGUAGUAAAAAUUUAUUUUCAGUUUAGUCACUCUCUUCCUCCAUCAUCAAAUCCCAACAUUUGAUAUCAAAGCUAGAGCUAUUGAGACGUAGCUGGGCUGCUCAAUAGUAGUUGGUAGAGUUUGAGUAUUUAGGCGGAAGACUUUGGGAGUCUAGAUUUGCUCGAGGAUCUACUAGUACAUAGUCUGGGAUUGUAGAGUAGAUUGGUUAGGGACCAGAUCCGCUUGGUGUAAGUGCAAGGCACUAUUGAGUUCAUCAUGGCAAACAUAACGUUGAAUGCUUGUUUAGUAGAGAAGCUAAACCAUGAGAAUUAUCAAGUAUAGAGUAUAAUAGUUGAGCUCUACCUCGGAGGUUAGAAUCUUUGGGAUCUCAUUGAUGGAGAUGACAUUACACUCCCAACAAAUCCAAGUGAAUUGAAGAAUUGGCAGGUGAGGGCUAAGAAAGCUCUUUACAUAGUGAUUGUUAUUGUUGAGCUAUAAUUCAUUAGAUAUGUCAAAUAUGAUGUGAAGUUGCAGUUGCUGGAGAAUGAGCUUGCCUCGAUUCGACAAAAUGAUAUACGAGUAAGUGAGUAUUUUUCAAAGUUAAAUCUAUUUGUAAUGAGAUUUCAAAGUUAGAUCCAAGGAACCCUAUCACUGACACAAGGAUGAAGAGAAUUAUUAUUAUGGGGGUUAAACCCAAAAUAUCAUGGUCUAGUCACGGCAACAAGAGUUGGUCUAAGGAACCAACUUUAGUUGAGUUGGAAAGUAUCCUAGCUAAUCAAGAAGCAUUGGAUACUCAAAUGUCCAAAGUUUUUUUAAAAGAUGAUGAAAAGGCUCUCUUUCGUAAAAAGAGAUAUCAAUGAGAGGAUUCCAACUCAAAGAAGGAGGGAGAUGGUAAAAGGUGACAAAAUGAUUGGCAUAGAGGAUGUCACAAUAGAAGCUCACAUCAAGGGGAUCUUGUGAAGAUUGAAACAAGCAUGAAGAGAGGAAAAACUAUCAAAAAAGAGGCCAUUGCUAUAGUUGAGGGAAUGCCGGCCACUUUGCUCGAGACUAUUGGUAUAAAAUGGCCGAAGGAAAUUUUGUCACCUCCAACAAUAAGACAGCGAGGAAGAAUGGGAUUUUCAGGCUUCAAGUACCAUUGAAGAAGAGAUAGCGAUAGAAGAUUUUAGUGAAGAAGAAAUAGUAGUGUCCUGCAUUGUGGAAGAAGCAAACUAAGACAAGGAAGAGAGCAUUAAGGUAAACAAGAAUGAAGAAGCAAAUAAGGAUGUGGAAGAUAUGGAGAAACUCAAUUUGGUGAAAGUAAUUGAAUCAUGUUUUGGUAUUCAAAGAUCAAUCAAGAAAAAAUAUGAAGAUGAAAACAAAGAACAUAGAGAGGAAGACUAAUCACCACCAUUUAUGAAGAUACAGAAGUCCAGUGUCAAGAAUGUUUCAAGGCACAAAAUGAAGACCAGUGCUUACGAGUCUCCUCAACAAGAUAGAGUAGAUUGCGACAAGUUCAAGAAACCGUUUAGGAGACUGAGAAAAACAAGAAGCAAUUUGGCUUGGCAAAGAUGUGCAGAGAGAACGAAGAAAGAAGAAAGAAGAAAGAAGAGUGUGAGAGUGAGAAAAGAAAGAGAAAAUAAGAAGUGCGUGUGGGUGUAGCCUUGUAAAAUAUGAAUAGGUGGUGAGAAAAGUGAGAUAGUGUCAGCUAGAAAGAUAGAAAGAGAAAGAAUGAGGGAAAAUUAUGAGAGAAGAUAUAAGUAUUUGUAAAAAUUAUAAUUUGAGUGAGUAAUAAAAACUUAUUUUCAAUUGAGUCCCUCUCUUCCUCCGUCAUAAAAUCCCAACACGUCACAGGUAAUUCAGACGAUAACUAGUGUUUGCCCCUUGUGACAUGCACAAGAUUUAGUUAAUGCAAAAUUUUAAUCGUCUGGUAAACACUAGUUAUAGUUUGAAUUGCCACCUAGAUUAUAUAUUUGUGACUGAAAAUUAGCUAAAGUUUAUUCAAAUACUACUGAAUUAUUAAUUUUUUUUUUGUGCCCUUUGAUGAAGAAGAAUUAUUAUUAGUGGGGCUUGAAAGUUGGAAGUACUAAAUGUAUAUAAACAAUGUCUUGUGUGUAAUAAAUGUUGAAUUAUGGAAACAUGAAUCAACAAGAUCAAUGUGCGUACAUACAAAUAAGCUUUUAUUUGAUAUUGAUUUUGUUAAAGUCCAGAAACACAUGCACUGAUUCGAUCUUGGAUGGUAUUUAUAUCUCUUUUUUCCUACAUUAUUGUUCCUCUGCUUCAAUUUCUGUUGAUAUAUGCAACCUUCAAUUGUAAAUUAAACCUUGAAGAUUAUCAGGUACCAAUUGGUCUCAGCUGAUAUUUGCAUUUAAGCCCAGUAAAGUUUUUGCUGAGCAUGGGAUGGUAGGAAUUAUCAAUAUUUUUCUUUUUCUUUGUCAACCAUUUUGACUUGUUUUUAAGAAAAUGAUUUGCGAGUUAUAUUUUUAAGUAAAUUUUGCUUGAGUAGUUAUCCUCUGACAAAGGGAAAUCGUUAAGCUUCACGGCUCGUUAUUG